rnacentral:rRNA from 2 species
UUAAGCGACUAAGCGUACACGGUGGAUGCCCUGGCAGUCAGAGGCGAUGAAGGACGUGCUAAUCUGCGAAAAGCGUCGGUAAGGUGAUAUGAACCGUUACAGCCGGCGAUGUCCGAAUGGGGAAACCCAGUGUGAUUCGUCACACUAUCGUUAACUGAAUACAUAGGUUAACGAGGCGAACCGGGGGAACUGAAACAUCUAAGUACCCCGAGGAAAAGAAAUCAACCGAGAUUCCCCCAGUAGCGGCGAGCGAACGGGGAGCAGCCCAGAGUCUGAAUCAGCUUGUGUGUUAGUGGAACGGUCUGGAAAGUCCGACGGUACAGGGUGAUAGUCCCGUACACCAAAAUGCACAGGCUGUGAACUCGAAGAGUAGGGCGGGACACGUGGUAUCCUGUCUGAAUAUGGGGGGACCAUCCUCCAAGGCUAAAUACUCCUGACUGACCGAUAGUGAACCAGUACCGUGAGGGAAAGGCGAAAAGAACCCCGGCGAGGGGAGUGAAAAAGAACCUGAAACCGUGUACGUACAAGCAGUGGGAGCACCUUCGGGUGUGACUGCGUACCUUUUGUAUAAUGGGUCAGCGACUUAUAUUCUGUAGCAAGGUUAACCGUAUAGGGGAGCCGCAGGGAAACCGAGUCUUAACUGGGCGUUAAGUUGCAGGGUAUAGACCCGAAACCCGGUGAUCUAGCCAUGGGCAGGUUGAAGGUUGGGUAACACUAACUGGAGGACCGAACCGACUAAUGUUGAAAAAUUAGCGGAUGACUUGUGGCUGGGGGUGAAAGGCCAAUCAAACCGGGAGAUAGCUGGUUCUCCCCGAAAGCUAUUUAGGUAGCGCCUCGUGAACUCAUCUUCGGGGGUAGAGCACUGUUUCGGCUAGGGGGUCAUCCCGACUUACCAACCCGAUGCAAACUACGAAUACCGAAGAAUGUUAUCACGGGAGACACACGGCGGGUGCUAACGUCCGUCGUGAAGAGGGAAACAACCCAGACCGCCAGCUAAGGUCCCAAAGUCAUGGUUAAGUGGGAAACGAUGUGGGAAGGCACAGACAGCCAGGAUGUUGGCUUAGAAGCAGCCAUCAUUUAAAGAAAGCGUAAUAGCUCACUGGUCGAGUCGGCCUGCGCGGAAGAUGUAACGGGGCUAAACCAUGCACCGAAGCUGCGGCAGCGACACUAUGUGUUGUUGGGUAGGGGAGCGUUCUGUAAGCCUGCGAAGGUGUGCUGUGAGGCAUGCUGGAGGUAUCAGAAGUGCGAAUGCUGACAUAAGUAACGAUAAAGCGGGUGAAAAGCCCGCUCGCCGGAAGACCAAGGGUUCCUGUCCAACGUUAAUCGGGGCAGGGUGAGUCGACCCCUAAGGCGAGGCCGAAAGGCGUAGUCGAUGGGAAACAGGUUAAUAUUCCUGUACUUGGUGUUACUGCGAAGGGGGGACGGAGAAGGCUAUGUUAGCCGGGCGACGGUUGUCCCGGUUUAAGCAUGUAGGCUGGUUGUCCAGGCAAAUCCGGAUAAUCAAGGCUGAGGUGUGAUGACGAGGCACUACGGUGCUGAAGUAACAAAUGCCCUGCUUCCAGGAAAAGCCUCUAAGCAUCAGGUAACAUCAAAUCGUACCCCAAACCGACACAGGUGGUCAGGUAGAGAAUACCAAGGCGCUUGAGAGAACUCGGGUGAAGGAACUAGGCAAAAUGGUGCCGUAACUUCGGGAGAAGGCACGCUGGUGUGUAGGUGAAGUCCCUGCGGAUGGAGCUGAGACCAGUCGAAGAUACCAGCUGGCUGCAACUGUUUAUUAAAAACACAGCACUGUGCAAACACGAAAGUGGACGUAUACGGUGUGACGCCUGCCCGGUGCCGGAAGGUUAAUUGAUGGGGUUAUCCGUAAGGAGAAGCUCUUGAUCGAAGCCCCGGUAAACGGCGGCCGUAACUAUAACGGUCCUAAGGUAGCGAAAUUCCUUGUCGGGUAAGUUCCGACCUGCACGAAUGGCGUAAUGAUGGCCAGGCUGUCUCCACCCGAGACUCAGUGAAAUUGAACUCGCUGUGAAGAUGCAGUGUACCCGCGGCAAGACGGAAAGACCCCGUGAACCUUUACUAUAGCUUGACACUGAACAUUGAGCCUUGAUGUGUAGGAUAGGUGGGAGGCUUUGAAGCGUGGACGCCAGUCUGCGUGGAGCCAACCUUGAAAUACCACCCUUUAAUGUUUGAUGUUCUAACGUUGGCCCCUUACCGGGGUUGCGGACAGUGUCUGGUGGGUAGUUUGACUGGGGCGGUCUCCUCCCAAAGCGUAACGGAGGAGCACGAAGGUUAGCUAAUCCUGGUCGGACAUCAGGAGGUUAGUGCAAUGGCAUAAGCUAGCUUGACUGCGAGCGUGACGGCGCGAGCAGGUGCGAAAGCAGGUCAUAGUGAUCCGGUGGUUCUGAAUGGAAGGGCCAUCGCUCAACGGAUAAAAGGUACUCCGGGGAUAACAGGCUGAUACCGCCCAAGAGUUCAUAUCGACGGCGGUGUUUGGCACCUCGAUGUCGGCUCAUCACAUCCUGGGGCUGAAGUAGGUCCCAAGGGUAUGGCUGUUCGCCAUUUAAAGUGGUACGCGAGCUGGGUUUAGAACGUCGUGAGACAGUUCGGUCCCUAUCUGCCGUGGGCGCUGGAGAAUUGAGGGGGGCUGCUCCUAGUACGAGAGGACCGGAGUGGACGCAUCACUGGUGUUCGGGUUGUCAUGCCAAUGGCACUGCCCGGUAGCUAAAUGCGGAAGAGAUAAGUGCUGAAAGCAUCUAAGCACGAAACUUGCCCCGAGAUGAGUUCUCCCUGAGACUUUAAGUCUCCUGAAGGAACGUUGAAGACGACGACGUUGAUAGGCCGGGUGUGUAAGCGCAGCGAUGCGUUGAGCUAACCGGUACUAAUGAACCGUGAGGCUUAACCUU